UCCCUGGUGGUCCAGCGGUUAAGAUUUCGUGCUACCAACGCAAGGGGCCCAGGUCCGAUCCCUGGUCAGGGAA